UUGUAAGUUUGGGGUUAGUAGGUUGGUCGUGCCUCUGGUAUGUACUGGUCUCACUUCGAUUCCUCCUUCCNAGAUGAGCCGUAAUGUCCUUAAUUNGGGUGUUGCGGGGAAUUUGGACUGUUACUUUAGAAAAAUUAGAGUGUUUAAAGCAAGCUAACGCUUGAAUACAUUAGCGUGGAAUAAUGAAAUAGGACGUUCGAUCCUAUUUUGUUGGUUUCUAGGAUUGACGUAAUGAUUAAUAGGGAUAGUUGGGGGCAUUAGUAUUCAAUUGUCAGAGGUGAAAUUCUUGGAUUUAUUGAAGACUAACUACUGCGAAAGCAUUUGCCAAGGAUGUUUUCAUUAAUCAAGAACGAAAGUUAGGGGAGCGAAGACGAUCAGAUACCGUCGUAGUCUUAACCAUAAACUAUGCCGACUAGGGAUCGGAUGAUGUUAAUUUUAAUGACUC
rnacentral:rRNA from 1 species